GAAAAUGCUUACAAAAACGCAAUGCUGUUGAAUUUUAUCCUGGAGGUUUCUGAUUCUUGUGCUGAUUCGUGUGACUUAACUCGAGAAACGGAAUGUGAAGAUGAAGAAUGCAUGGAAAAAGAAAAACUUUGUGCGCAAUGCAUGAGAAAUCAACGACUGAAACACUUGAGAAAAUUUCUAAAAUAGCAGGAAUAUGUGAAUGUCUAUGUAUACACAAUCACACAAACCAGAAUGCCAAAUCUUUUACAAUACAGUGCCGACAAGCUGAAGUGUACGAAAUUAAAUAACUAACAAGUGAAAUCCUAAAUGUAUAAUCGAUAACAUUAAAUUUA